GCCUCAGUAGCUCAGUCGGUAAGAGCGCGACAUUGGUAAUGUCGAGGUCCUGAGUUCAAUCCUCAGCUGAGGCU
rnacentral:tRNA from 1 species